CACCUUGAAGUAACCCUCUAUAAACAUGCGUUUAUGCAGCUGCUCUACAGUUUUUGCCAUAUUGUACCCCUAAAUAAAUAUUUACAGAACUUUGCCUUCACCAGAAAUUACUGCCUAGCCCAGGCUGAUGUUCUGUAGCCAUGGAAACCAAGAAUUCCAAAAUCUUGUGAUGUCAUCGCCUCAUUGUUAUAAGAAAUUUAAAGAUCAUAGUUCUAACACACAGCUCAUUGCAUCUUUGAAGAGUGAAGAGUGAACUCCUGAAACUAAAUUAACCUAAAUUAAUCACACAAUGUCAAAGUCUUGGCCAACUUAUACUGCACCACGUCUUGUGGAUCUGAAUAACCCUCUAGGACACCAAACAGAGCCUUGCAUCUCCACACUGGUGAAGAUGACUCCAGAUGGAAGAAUAGAGGGAAGAAAGAGAAGGGACUUAACUGAAAGAGUGGACAAAUCCCCGAAAAAAAGCAAAAGCAGUGGAAGUCCAAAACCGGGUCCCAGCCACAUUGUUUCUGGGGAAUCCAGUUGGAAAUUUGGCCUUCUCAUAGUCCCUUCAAGCGACUCUAGUAUAUUUAAGAUGAGCAACAAACGGAAGAGCACUAGUGGCGAAUCUGAGGGACCAUC